rnacentral:rRNA from 1 species
ACAAUGGGCGCAAGCCUGAUCCAGCAAUGCCGCGUGAGUGAAGAAGGCCUUCGGGUUGUAAAGCUCUUUUGUCAGGGAAGAAACGGCUGCGGAUAAUACCUGUGGCUAAUGACGGUACCUGAAGAAUAAGCACCGGCUAACUAC